rfam:Rattus norvegicus chromosome 8, whole genome shotgun sequence.
GGAGAUUUAGCUCAGUGGUAGAGCACUUGCCUAGCAAGCACAAGGCCCUGGGUUUGGUCCCCUGCUCCG